AGUGAACGCUGGCGGCAGGCCUAACACAUGCAAGUCGAACGGCAGCACAGUAAGAGCUUGCUCUUACGGGUGGCGAGUGGCGGACGGGUGAGGAGUACAUCGGAAUCUACUUUUUCGUGGGGGAUAACGUAGGGAAACUUACGCUAAUACCGCAUACGACCUACGGGUGAAAGCAGGGGAUCUUCGGACCUUGCGCGAUUGAAUGAGCCGAUGUCGGAUUAGCUAGUUGGCGGGGUAAAGGCCCACCAAGGCGACGAUCCGUAGCUGGUCUGAGAGGAUGAUCAGCCACACUGGAACUGAGACACGGUCCAGACUCCUACGGGAGGCAGCAGUGGGGAAUAUUGGACAAUGGGCGCAAGCCUGAUCCAGCCAUACCGCGUGGGUGAAGAAGGCCUUCGGGUUGUAAAGCCCUUUUGUUGGGAAAGAAAAGCAGCAGGUUAAUACCCCGCUGUUCUGACGGUACCCAAAGAAUAAGCACCGGCUAACUUCGUG
rnacentral:rRNA from 1 species